rnacentral:rRNA from 1 species
UGAGGAAUAUUGGGCAAUGCCCGCAAGGGUGACCCAGCAACGCCGCGUGGAGGAUGAAUGUCGUAAGAUUGUAAACUCCUGUUAGAGGGGAAGAAUAGUACCGGUUGGACCGGUAUAUGACUGUACCCUCAGAGAAAGCCCCGGCUAACUACGUGCCAGCAGCCGCGGUAAUACGUAGGGGGCAAGCGUUGUCCGGAUUUACUGGGUGUAAAGGGCGCGCAGGCGGGAUAAAAAGUCAGUGGUGAAAUCCUACAGCUUAACUGUAGAACUGCCUUUGAUACUUUUAUUCUUGAGUUCGGGAGAGAGAGAAGGAAUUCCAGGUGUAGUGGUGAAAUACGUAGAUAUCUGGAAGAACACCAGUUGCGAAGGCGGUCUCUUGGUCCGACACUGACGCUGAGGCGCGAAAGCGUGGGG